AGCAUCCUACGGGAGGCAGCAGUGGGGAAUAUUGCACAAUGGGGGAAACCCUGAUGCAGCAACGCCGCGUGAGUGAAGAAGUAUUUCGGUAUGUAAAGCUCUAUCAGCAGGGAAGAAAAUGACAGUACCUGACUAAGAAGCCCCGGCUAACUACGUGCCAGCAGCCGCGGUAAUACGUAGGGGGCAAGCGUUAUCCGGAUUUACUGGGUGUAAAGGGGGCGCAGACGGCGAUGCAAGCCAGGAGUGAAAGCCCGGGGCCCAACCC
rnacentral:rRNA from 1 species